rnacentral:rRNA from 1 species
GACGAACCGUGCGAACGUUGUUCGGAUUCACUGGGCUUAAAGGGCGCGUAGGCGGGCGGUCAAGUCGGGGGUGAAAUCUUUCAGCUUAACUGGAAAAGUGCCUCCGAUACUGAUCGCCUCGAGGGAGGUAGGGGCAUGUGGAACUUCCGGUGGAGCGGUGAAAUGCGUAGAUAUCGGAAGGAACGCCGGUGGCGAAAGCGACGUGCCGGACCUCUUCUGACGCUGAGGCGCGAAAGCUAGGGGAGCAAACGGG